GCCUGUCUCAGUUCGGAUUGGAGUCUGCAACUCGACUCCAUGAAGCUGGAUUCGCUAGUAAUCGCGCAUCAGCCAUGGCGCGGUGAAUACGUUCCCGGGCCUUGUACACACCGCCCGUCAAGCCAUGGGAGCCGGGGGUGCCUGAAGUACGUGACCGCGAGGAGCGUCCUAGGGCAAAACUGGUGACUGGGGCUAAGUCGUAACAAGGUACC
rnacentral:rRNA from 1 species